rnacentral:rRNA from 1 species
AUUGAACGCUGGCGGCAGGCCUAACACAUGCAAGUCGAACGAGUGGCGGACGGGUGAGUAAUGUCUGGGAAACUGCCUGCUGGAGGGGGAUAACUACUGGAAACGGUAGCUAAUCCCGCAUACCAUCAGAUGUGCCCAGAUGGGCUUAGCUUGUUGGUGGGGUAACGGGUCACCAAGGCGACGAUCCCUAGCUGGUCUGAGAGGAUGACCAGCCACACUGGAACUGUGACACGGUGCAAAGUCCUAGGGGAGGCAGGAGUGGGGAAUAUUGCACAAUGGGCGCAAGCCUGAUGCAGCCAUGCCGCGUGUAUGAAGGAGGCCUUAGGGUUGUAAAGUACUUUCAGCGGGGAGGCGUUAGCCGCAGAAGAAGCGCCGGCUAACUCCGUGCCAGCAGCCGCGGUAAUUC